rnacentral:rRNA from 1 species
GACGAACGCUGGCGGCGUGCUUAACACAUGCAAGUCGAACGGAAAGGCCUCUUUCGGGGGGUACUCGAGUGGCGAACGGGUGAGUAACACGUGAGUAACCUGCCCUUGACUUUGGGAUAACUUCAGUAAACUGGGGCUAAUACCGGAUAGGAGCUCCUGCUGCAUGGUGGGGGUUGGAAAGUUUCGGCGGUUGGGGAUGGACUCGCGGCUUAUCAGCUUGUUGGUGGGGUAGUGGCUUACCAAGGCUUUGACGGGUAGCCGGCCUGAGAGGGUGACCGGCCACAUUGGGACUGAGAGAAGGCCCAGACUCCUACGGGAGGCAGCAGUGGGGAAUAUUGCACAAGGGGUGGAAGCCUGAUGCAGCAACGCCGUGUGCGGGAUGACGGCCUUCGGGUUGUAAACCGCUUUCGCUCAUGACGAAGCUUUGUGUGACGGUAGUGGGUAAAGAAGCACCGGCUAACUACGUG